UAGGGAAUUUUGGGCAAUGGGCGAAAGCCUGACCCAGCAACGCCGCGUGUGGGAUGAAGGCCCUCGGGUCGUAAACCACUGUCAGGAGGAAAGAAAAGUCGGCCGGAUAAUACUCGGUCGACCUGACGGUACCUCCAAAGGAAGCACCGGCUAACUCCGUGCCAGCAGCCGCGGUAAUACGUAGGGACCAAGCGUUGUUCGGAUUUACUGGGCGUAAAGGGCGCGUAGGCGGUGUGUCAAGUCAGUUGUGAAAUCUCCGAGCUUAACUCGGAACGGUCAACUGAUACUGUCACACUAGAGUACAGAAGGGGCAAUCGGAAUUCUUGGUGUAGCGGUGAAAUGCGUAGAUAUCAAGAGGAACACCUGAGGCGAAGGCGGGUUGCUGGGCUGAUACUGACGCUGAGGCGCGAAAGCUAGGGUAGCAAACGGGAUUAGAUACCCAAGUAGUCCCUGAGCGGGCUGGCAAGGCGCAU
rnacentral:rRNA from 1 species